UUAAAGAAAAGAGUCCUCGCUAUAUUUCUCUGUCUGGACAUACCCAAGACCAAGCAUCUCUUUUUGUUUACACCGACCUCCGCUGUUACACCCAAAUACCCAAAUCGUUGAUCACAAUUGUGUCACUACCGAUUCUUCCAUGUCUUCCACUGCUGUAUAAGUGACAUUGAAAGAACUCUAUCAAAGUUCAAACACUGAGAUGCAAAGGAGGACACCACGAAUCAAUUUGUGUUUGUUUUGGAAAAGGGAAACGUUCUAGACGGUUAGAGAGGUACAGUUAAGAGUUUGGAAGACAGGUUGUGCUAUUUAGACUUUUGUUGUGCUAUCUACAACAACUCAGCUGAAAUUUCAAAGGAGCUAUCAUCUGUUGCAAAUGAUGAAUCCAACUUUGUAGACACAUUUGAGGAGCUUAUGUAAAAUAGUUUGUCGCCACUACAAGCCUAAACCAUUUGUCAAGCCUAACCAUGUUUGCAAUAUGUACAUAAACACCUACUAUGGAUAGCAUAUCUAACUUCGAAAUCUGACUCAGUUACCAGAUUUUUGAACAUGUAAAAUAAUAUAUAAGAUAUAAUGUAGUAAUGUAAUAUAAACAAAUAUUACUAAAUUCAGUAGCAUUGAAUCAAACGACAUUGAUCAUGUUCCCGCAGCAUCGCGCGGGUGCAUUAU
rnacentral:lncRNA from 1 species